rnacentral:rRNA from 1 species
UUAUAUGAGAGUUUGAUCCUGGCUCAGGAUGAACGCUGGCGGCGUGCCUAAUACAUGCAAGUCGAACGAGUUCUCGUUGAUGAUCGGUGCUUGCACCGAGAUUCAACAUGGAACGAGUGGCGGACGGGUGAGUAACACGUGGGUAACCUGCCCUUAAGUGGGGAUAACAUUUGGAAACAGAUGCUAAUACCGCAUAGAUCCAAGAACCGCAUGGUUCUUGGCUGAAAGAUGGCGUAAGCUAUCGCUUUUGGAUGGACCCGCGGCGUAUUAGCUAGUUGGUGAGGUAAUGGCUCACCAAGGCGAUGAUACGUAGCCGAACUGAGAGGUUGAUCGGCCACAUUGGGACUGAGACACGGCCCAAACUCCUAUGGAGGCAGCAGUAGGGAAUCUUCCACAAUGGACGCAAGUCUGAUGGAGCAACGCCGCGUGAGUGAAGAAGGCUUUCGGGUCGUAAAACUCUGUUGUUGGAGAAGAAUGGUCGGCAGAGUAACUGUUGUCGGCGUGACGGUAUCCAACCAGAAAGCCACGGCUAACUACGUGCCAGCAGCCGCGGUAAUACGUAGGUGGCAAGCGUUAUCCGGAUUUAUUGGGCGUAAAGCGAGCGCAGGCGGUUUUUUAAGUCUGAUGUGAAAGCCCUCGGCUUAACCGAGGAAGCGCAUCGGAAACUGGGAAACUUGAGUGCAGAAGAGGACAGUGGAACUCCAUGUGUAGCGGUGAAAUGCGUAGAUAUAUGGAAGAACACCAGUGGCGAAGGCGGCUGUCUGGUCUGUAACUGACGCUGAGGCUCGAAAGCAUGGGUAGCGAACAGGAUUAGAUACCCUGGUAGUCCAUGCCGUAAACGAUGAAUGCUAGGUGUUGGAGGGUUUCCGCCCUUCAGUGCCGCAGCUAACGCAUUAAGCAUUCCGCCUGGGGAGUACGACCGCAAGGUUGAAACUCAAAGGAAUUGACGGGGGCCCGCACAAGCGGUGGAGCAUGUGGUUUAAUUCGAAGCAACGCGAAGAACCUUACCAGGUCUUGACAUCUUUUGAUCACCUGAGAUCAGGUUUCCCCUUCGGGGGCAAAAUGACAGGUGGUGCAUGGUUGUCGUCAGCUCGUGUCGUGAGAUGUUGGGUUAAGUCCCGCAACGAGCGCAACCCCUUAUGACUAGUUGCCAGCAUUUAGUUGGGCACUCUAGUAAGACUGCCGGUGACAAACCGGAGGAAGGUGGGGAUGACGUCAAAUCAUCAUGCCCCUUAUGACCUGGGCUACACACGUGCUACAAUGGAUGGUACAACGAGUUGCGAGACCGCGAGGUCAAGCUAAUCUCUUAAAGCCAUUCUCAGUUCGGACUGUAGGCUGCAACUCGCCUACACGAAGUCGGAAUCGCUAGUAAUCGCGGAUCAGCACGCCGCGGUGAAUACGUUCCCGGGCCUUGUACACACCGCCCGUCACACCAUGAGAGUUUGUAACACCCAGAAGCCGGUGGCGUAACCCUUUUAGGGAGCGAGCCGUCUAAGGUGGGACAAAUGAUUAGGGUGAAGUCGUAACAAGGUAGCCAUCGGAGAACCUGCGGCUGGAUCACCUCCUUU